rnacentral:rRNA from 1 species
GAUGAACGCUGGCGGCGUGCCUAAUACAUGCAAGUCGAGCGAACAGACGAGGAGCUUGCUCCUCUGACGUUAGCGGCGGACGGGUGAGUAACACGUGGAUCACCUACCUAUAUGACUGGGAUAACUUCGGGAAACCGGAGCUAAUACCGGAUAAUAUAUUGAACCGCAUGGUUCAAUAGUGAAAGACGGUUUUGCUGUCACUUAUAGAUGGAUCCGCGCCGCAUUAGCUAGUUGGUAAGGUAACGGCUUACCAAGGCAACGAUGCGUAGCCGACCUGAGAGGGUGAUCGGCCACACUGGAACUGAGACACGGUCCAGACUCCUACGGGAGGCAGCAGUAGGGAAUCUUCCGCAAUGGGCGAAAGCCUGACGGAGCAACGCCGCGUGAGUGAUGAAGGUCUUCGGAUCGUAAAACUCUGUUAUUAGGGAAGAACAAAUGUGUAAGUAACUAUGCACGUCUUGACGGUACCUAAUCAGAAAGCCACGGCUAACUACGUG